UGCCAGUGAUAAACUGGAGGAAGGUGGGGAUGACGUCAAGUCAUCAUGGCCCUUACGACCAGGGCUACACACGUGCUACAAUGGCAUAUACAAAGAGAAGCGACCUCGCGAGAGCAAGCGGACCUCAUAAAGUAUGUCGUAGUCCGGAUUGGAGUCUGCAACUCGACUCCAUGAAGUCGGAAUCGCUAGUAAUCGUAGAUCAGAAUGCUACGGUGAAUACGUUCCCGGGCCUUGUACACACCGCCCGUCACACCAUGGGAGUGGGUUGCAAAAGAAGUAGGUAGCUUAACCUUCGGGAGGGCGCUUACCACUUUGUGAUUCAUGACUGGGGUGAAGUCGUAACAAGGUAACCGUAGGGGAACCUGCGGUUGGAUCACCUCCUUA
rnacentral:rRNA from 8 species